rnacentral:rRNA from 1 species
GAUGAACGCUGGCGGCGUGCCUAAUACAUGCAAGUCGAGCGAACGGACGAGAAGCUUGCUCCUCUGAUGUUAGCGGCGGACGGGUGAGUAACACGUGGAUAACCUACCUAUAAGACUGGGAUAACUUCGGGAAACCGGAGCUAAUACCGGAUAAUAUUUUGAACCGCAUGGUUCAAAAGUGAAAGACGGUUUUGCUGUCACUUAUAGAUGGAUCCGCGCUGCAUUAGCUAGUUGGUAAGGUAACGGCUUACCAAGGCAACGAUGCGUAGCCGACCUGAGAGGGUGAUCGGCCACACUGGAACUGAGACACGGUCCAGACUCCUACGGGAGGCAGCAGUAGGGAAUCUUCCGCAAUGGGCGAAAGCCUGACGGAGCAACGCCGCGUGAGUGAUGAAGGUCUUCGGAUCGUAAAACUCUGUUAUUAGGGAAGAACAAAUGUGUAAGUAACUAUGCACGUCUUGACGGUACCUAAUCAGAAAGCCACGGCUAACUACGUG